GCGAACCAUANAGGUAGUAGACUUCGGUCUGCUACCUCUUACCCAUGUCUUUUGAGUACCUUCGUUUCCUCGGCGGGUCCGCCCGCCGAUUGGACAACAUUCAAACCCUUUGCAGUUGCAAUCAGCGUCUGAAAAAACAUAAUAGUUACAACUUUCAACAACGGAUCUCUUGGUUCUGGCAUCGAUGAAGAACGCAGCGAAAUGCGAUAAGUAGUGUGAAUUGCAGAAUUCAGUGAAUCAUCGAAUCUUUGAACGCACAUUGCGCCCCUUGGUAUUCCAUGGGGCAUGCCUGUUCGAGCGUCAUUUGUACCUUCAAGCUCUGCUUGGUGUUGGGUGUUUGUCUCGCCUCUGCGUGUAGACUCGCCUUAAAACAAUUGGCAGCCGGCGUAUUGAUUUCGGAGCGCAGUACAUCUCGCGCUUUGCACUCAUAACGACGACGUCCAAAAGUACAUUUUUACACUCUUGACCUCGGAUCAGGUAGGGAUACCCGCUGAACUUAAGCAUAUCAAUAACCCGGAGGAA
rnacentral:rRNA from 1 species